GAUGAUCACAAUCCUAAAAGCUAGAUUAGACAAGAAAAUGAGGGGAAAAAAAAUAGAAUUGACAAUCCUGAACAGCACGCAAAGCAUCUAUUAAUCUUCGCCAUACAAUUAGUCUACAUACUUCCUUAAUUAUUUUCCCUAAUUUGCUUUGCCUCUAAUCUUGAUCAACUUUUUUAUCUUAUCAUCAUCAGUUAUUUAGCGAGUGUAGUAGAACUCAGC
rnacentral:misc_RNA from 1 species